GUCAAACCCCAAAAUCCAUCGAUUCCCUUUCAUCACCCGCCGCAAGUGUUCGGAACCCUAAAAUCUAAUCCCGUCGCUAUAAAUUACUGGGCUCCGCCGCCGUCGUUGAUUCAUGGUGCGAUGGCCGUCAGGGAUUUCGACCUCUCUUCCCGAGAUUUGCUGGCUGAUGAUGAGUGAUCAUUAAGAUCUUAGCGGAUUUCAGUGAGGCUUUCUGGUCUAUGAUCUUUCCACUGUUGUUACACACACUGAAGCCUACUCUAUUUCACAGCAAAAUGAUAGUUUUCUACCCUGUUGGGGUUAAGAUCAUUUUUGGUGCAAUGCUUAAUCUGCUCUUUCUGAUUUAUGGAUUUUUUCUAUCUGUUUUAUGGUGCAUUUGGCAUAGGAGGUAUCGGUUGUCGCCAUGAUGAGUUUAGGAGUUGGUGUGGGCAGUGGUGAUAGCAUAUUGUUGUUAUCCCCGUGAGCCUCUCUCACAUUAAUAUGACUUCUCCUUUCGCUGAGCUCACAAUUUUUUUCCUUCCAUGAAGUGUUGAAUGAUUUUUUUUUUCACACAAAAAGUCUUUUUUCAAUAAUAUUAUUUAUUUUUAUUACACUAUUAUCAAUCUCGACCUUCAAUUUUAUUUAAUUAACCAAUGCAUUGUUGUUUUUGGUUUCAUUCAACAUGUAUGUAAUUAUGUUAACAAUGCAACUAAUUCUUCAACAUAUGGUUUGAUGUUAUCUUGUUGACAUUCUUAUUUUUCACUCUAAUGUGUUUUGCUCGGUAGAAACCUUUAUUCCCUAAUUGAGACUUGAGACAUUGAUUUUCACUUGUCAUCCUUGCACUCACGAAAGUAUGUUUCAUUGCAGUUUGAUUAAUAUCAAAAACUAUCUGUUUAGAUAAAUUUAUUAAUUAGGCCUUAGUAUUAUUUUUUGAUUGAACCUAUGCAUGUUUUUUAGGUCACAUUAUGAUCCUAUGAUAACAGUGGCAUAUUUUGAAAUAGUCAUUUGGGUGCUUUUUAAUUGUGGGAGAUGCUGUAUCUUAUAUUAGAUUUUUACCACUAUACGUUUAUUGGACUUGUAAAUGUAAGUUGUGCAUUUAGAUCAGAGAACAUCUAAUAUUAUGUUUGAAGGAAAUCGAACAUAAAUUUUCUUGUAUGUGCUAAUUUUCAUGAGUAAAAUACAAUUAGUUGAUUGAAAGUUAAACUUUGACUGAGGCACCAGUACUGAGGCUCCUCGCAAAAUCAAUUGUUUGGCUACUUACUUUUUUUGUGCAAGAAUAAUUAUGGGAUGAACAUUGCAGCACAAAUAGAUUGAUGUUUGUGCUGUCCUUUAUCUCCCAACACUGAAUAUUAUAUCAUUGUUGUUCCAUCUUCUGAUUUAUGUUUGUUGGUUACUAGUUGUUGCUGUUAUUGUACAUUUACAUUAGUUAAGUUAUAGGUGACAGGUAGCCAAUAUGAAAACUAAAUCAUAAACUUGAUAAAUGAUAUGCACCAGUAGCUAAAAGAAGUAUUUAUUAUAACUUGAUUUGGUGCACGAGUACUGACGCUCUGUUUAAUAUUAGUAUCCAGAUGCCUAACCUCUGUGCAAGAAUAGAUUAGGGUAUGCGCUUUGCAGCACAAAUGAACAUGUGUUUAUGCUGCCUGUAUUUACCCAACACUGUUACAUAUUAAUACAUUCAGAUAUCAAUUUCACAAGUAAUUUUUGGUAAUAUGAGCAAGAUAUUUAUCUCUCUUUUUUGGCUUACAUAAUCAUUUACAUAAAAAAAAGAUUUAUACAUUAGACGAGUGAAUUUUGUUGAUUCUCAUACAUUAUGGCUCUCAAUAUGGUUAACGGUCAAUCUUAUACCAACCCUUUAAUUUGCUUGCUUUCCUGUCUUUCAUUGAUUCUUUCUCUUCCAGAAUUAUUUAUAAACAGUUGAUAAAACACCUUUUGAAUAACUGGAUGCAAGAUAUGCAGAUAUGUGCUUAUAGUUCAGACGGAGGGUCAAUCUUAUACCAACCCUUUAAUUUGCUUGCUUUCCUGUCUUUCAUUGAUUCUUUCUCUUCCAAAAUUAUUUAUAAACAGUUGAUAAAACACCUUUUGAAUAACUGGAUGCAAGAUAUGCAGAUAUGUGCUUAUAGUUCAGACGGAGGCGCAAAACAACAUGAAUCAUUUUGAGAGAAAGGAACUGUUUUAUCUAAUCAUUCUUUUCUUAGAUUGCUUCAGCUAUUUAUUUAUUUUUUCUUAGAAGGAUGCAAAAUAUGUACACAAAACUGUUUUAUCUAUUCAUUUUGAUUGAAGCAUUUCAGCUAAUUAUGAUAGGUGAUGGGAGUAGUUAUUUAGAUACAGCACUGAUACUUCCUAGCAAGAUCCAUUGUUCUGCCACCUUACAUUUCUGUGCAAGACUGAAUCAGAGUAACUCUCCCUUUGCAGCAUAAACUAAUUUCUGCUUAUGCUGCAGGUAGUCACUUGAAUACUACUACAGAUCACUACUUACUGAUUUAAUACCCACUCUCACAAUUAUUCUGCAGAACAUGUUAUGAGUUCUAUGUUUCAUGUGUUCUCUUGUUUGAUUGAAAUAGUUACCUUGAAUUAAACUCAUGCAUAGUUAAGGCCCCCUGCAAGAUGUGUUCUGGACUUGUGGUUUGCCUAAUUUUUUUUUGUGUGGGCAAACAAAUUGAUGUCUGUGCAGUGAACUAUUUUUAAUUUAUUUUAAGCAGUGUUUGUCAUUAAUAUUUUUGUUUUUUUAUAAAUAUUUUGAGUUUAAUCUAUCUUGAUCCUUAUUUUUUCCUCCAGAGUUCAAGAUUUCAUAUUUGCUCUCCUUCAAGCUAAGCUUAUGAUUUUUGGGUUUUCCAAAUUGAGCUCCUUUUGUUAUCAUAAAGCAAAUGCACUCUCUGCCAAAACCUCAACUUGAGCCAUGUUUUGUGGCAAUUUCUUCGCUUGCAAGAAGAACCCAAAGUUGGUGUUUCCGACCUAACUCUUCCGUUGCCGGAUGUUGGUGAAUGUCUUGUGGCGGUGGUCUGAAUUUCAUAUUGAUUGAAUCCAUGUUAAGUAUGAGAUGAUAUAAAAUUUCUGCCCCUUGAAUUAAGAUACAUGUUAAGAUUGAUUAAAUGAUUAUUUUCAAAAUUCACUUUUAUUUCUCCC